GCCGCCGCCGCGCUCUCCCCGCCCGGCCCAGCCCCUCCGCCGCAGCCGCGGGGCAGCCCCGAGCCACGGCCCCGGCUGGCGGGCGGGCUGCGGGCAGGAUCCUGGCGCUCGGGCUCUGGCAAGGGGAAAGGACAGAAACGGCGCAUCGGGAGGGACCCUGCCUCACCGCUUGUAUAUGGCAAAGUUUCUCGCCGAGCUCCUGGGCUGCACGUUGCCGAGCAAGGGCGCCUCUCCCAUGUUUGAGUCUAAAAGUCAUUCCCGAGUUGGCCUGAAAUCAAGCACCAAGCAAAAGACCACCAUUUUCAGCACAUUGGCCAGUGAGAAGUCCUUAUCUGACUGCAAAAAGCAUACUCAGACCAGACCCUGGAACGGAGCAGGUUUUUGAUGAAUGCCUGUUGAAUGAUGAAUAAACGGAUGAAGGGAACCAAGAGGCUGUGUUCUCUGUCACGUGGGGUGAGCCAAUGGGCUGAAGAAGCAUGAGGAAAAGGAGACUCGGGUAUGGCA
rnacentral:sRNA from 1 species